GUCUGUCAGUGUUUUGUGUAUUCAUAUUUAAAGCCUAUUUAAGAGACGAUGCACAGAGAUAGAGACGUACUCUUGUCGGCAAAAAGAAAAAGAAACGAAAAUUCAAGGCAAGAUUUCAAAACUUACCCAAGAAAAAUGAAAGGUUCAACUGAAAAGAGCAAGAAGCAGGAUGAUAAUGAAUCUGAUCUUCACCCUAUUCCUCACUGUUCUAUCAUUUUAACAAUCUUUGAUUCAAUCCUUCAACCUUUCAUCUCCAUUUUGAGGUUCUUUGGUUUUAAACGCGAUGCCCCACCUUACCGUCCAGCGUCCUCCUCACUGGAAGAUUGCUACACCGCCGGCUCAAAUCCGCCUUCCACGGCGGUCGACCCACCUCAUGACGAUUCUGAGGAAGAAAGUGAGUACUAUAGGCCACAUGUUCCUCCGCGGCCGCCGUGGAGCACUGGCGGCGGUGGUCAGAUAGACUAAUAUGUAUAUUGUAAUAAUCAGAUCCAAUCAUCAGUUAUUUGAUAUAGCAUGUAUCGGGUUACCAUGUACUUCUUGGAUCCUGCUUCCUCAGCAUCUUACUUCUUUUGUAACGCGUCUCAUAUUUUUUUUUUUGUUUUUUUUGUAGAUAUGGUAUUGUAAUAAUCAUAUAACAUCAGUGAAACCAUUAAGAAUUAAAAUUCUUACAGAUGGAAUUAGUCUUGUCCAUGCGUUAAGAUCCUUAAUUUGCUCCUCUGUUAGAUUGGUUUCUAGAUUUUUUGGGUUUUUAGUGGAACAUGCAGACAAUCUUCGUCAACAAGAGGAAAAACAUCUUUUGCUUCCAUCUUUUGAAAUGUGCUCAUUCAAAGCGAAAAGGGCGCUCGAGGUCAGAGGACAUCAAAUCGCCUUGGAAUGGUCCAGUCAUCACAGUAGAACUAGACGUCUUAAAAUUGUUGUUGCAAAUCUUCUAAGAGUGAUGCAUUAUGUAGUUUUAACGUCUAGACAAAAUGUGUGUUUCCUUGCCUUGUAUCUCGCGUAAAGUGUAAGUAUCUCGUCUGGUCAAAACGCCUUCUAUGGUCAACUCGUGUAAUGUUUAUAUCACCAAUUGAUCAAAUUGCCUACUAAACAAUUCGCCUAUUGGUCAGAACGCCAAUUUGUCAAUUUGUUUGGUCAAUUCGCCUA